UGCUAAGAAGGGGGGUCAAACCCCUAUUUAAGCGUUU
rnacentral:tRNA from 1 species